rnacentral:rRNA from 1 species
CGGGACGGGUGAGUAACGCGUGGGUAACCUGCCUUGUACAGGGGGAUAACAGUUGGAAACGGCUGCUAAUACCGCAUAAGCGCACGGCAUCGCAUGAUGCAGUGUGAAAAACUCCAGUGGUAUAAGAUGGACCCGCGUUGGAUUAGCUAGUUGGUGAGGUAACGGCCCACCAAGGCGACGAUCCAUAGCCGACCUGAGAGGGUGACCGGCCACAUUGGGACUGAGACACGGCCCAA